rnacentral:rRNA from 1 species
GCUUACGGCCACACCUCCCUGAGCACGCCCGAUCUCGUUCUGAUCUCGGAAGCGAGCAGGGUCGGGCACGGUUAGUACUUGGAUGGGAGACCGCCGGGGAAUACCAGGUGCUGUAAGCC